CGCUGUAGGAGUUCAGAGUAAACUGUUCGCUGUAGGAGUUCAGAGUAGACCGUCCGCUGUAGAAGUCUGGAGUAGACCGCUCGUAGUAUAAGUUCGGCUCUCACAGGAGUCUGGUUAGAAUCUUGAAGGCGGUCGACCGCCGUAGAAACUCGAAUGGAGUCUGAUCUCUGUAGAAACCUCAUUGUCGAAGAAGCUCGAAUAUUGAUGAAGUCCGGAAGGAGUUCGGAGAAUAGUUGAUCACUGUAGAAGGUCGGCUGACAGUGAGGCCUA
rnacentral:lncRNA from 1 species